UGCAGUGGCGAGACGCUUAUGCUUCAAAGUGGACGGUAAAAGAUGCGCUGUUACCUCAAGUAAACUCACUGACGCCAUUCCACUGUAAGUGAACUGCAAAGGCCCAUCGACCAAAGGAAAAAAGAAAAACGAACUGCAAAGGAACUCUUUUCCACCAUUUUCCAGUAGGGUUUUUGGUCGCAGUUGAAUUCAAAGACUACCAUUUAUCAGCUUCUCAUAUCCGUAUAAACAAAAGGAAGUAUGGACAUAGGAUGGUGGUCUACAUGUUGAACUAGGCAGGCACCUUGAAGAAGCACUUGGCAUCUUGUUUUAAAUAUCAAGUUAGCGGCCAUCAAAAGACACGAUUCUCUUCAAGGUACUCAGAAAAGCACACCUCUUACAGAUAUGGUUGGUGUUAUUCUCUAAAGCACAACGGUCUCUUUUUCCCCUUUGUACAAGAGCAUAUAAAGCUCCAAAAUUUAAGUUCAGAUUUACAACUCAACAAAUAAAGCUGAGUGUUGAUGAUGCUGGUGAAGAACGAGAACCAUCAAGGAAAAUUGAAGCCAAUGGUGAAAUCAAUUCAUCAAGCUCAUCAUCACUGGCGUAUGACUUUCUAAGCAAUGAACCAUUUCUUCUUAGCUGAGAUUGAUUUCCAGACUGUCCAAUUGUGUCACCAACUGAAGCUGCUGCAGGUGGCAAAUAAAGUGGAGGCGCAGCAAUGCAUGGUAUGGAUGUGACAGACUCCUCCACGUCAACAGGAUCCUAUAUCAAGAUAACAACCGGAUUACUUGCAAUCUUCGGCAGGUUAUUAAGUAAUUCUUGGACAAAGUACGUUCAGAUGUAGCACAGGCUAAGAUGCGGCAUGAUUUGGAUAGUUUCAAGGUGCCUUGACAGCAGAAGCAACGCGAGGGUGGUUUGGCACUUAAUAAGUGAUGAACAUUCGACAGAUCAAUCAUUGGAACCAACCCAAACUAUCCAUGUAUAAUUUGGACUGGGAUAGGGGUUGACACUUGUAGGCUUAAACUAAGAAUCAUGGAGAUAUGAUGAAAAUAUUGCAUUUCUAAAUUAGGAUAUAAAUGGAUAAUAUCUUAUAAAAUAA